rnacentral:lncRNA from 1 species
UUUUGUUCUGUCCCAUUGACUUGAGUCACCGAGGGUAAUGAACUUGGAAACUGGAAAGAAUUACUGGCUGGGCAGCUCUUCCAGGUUCCCGUUUCUUUUCAUGCGGUCUGUUUCCUGGGGGCAAUAACAUUUGUUUACCUUGAAAAUGAGAGAAGACACUUUUAUGGCGGAAGUCUCCAGGGAGCUUGAUCCUCGCUCCGCUCUGCACAUCCCCCUUCUGUGAGGACCCUGGGAAUGCGGGGACAGCAGCUGACCCCAACAGAAGCAAUAUUCAGUCGGAGAAAACGGAAGGGGACGGAUUGAUUCCCGGUCCUCUUGUUCUCCAGAACACUCGUUUCAUCAGAAUGCAAAGGAGAGAGGAGUUUCUACUGCAUUGACUAUUUUGGCUGGGUUUUGAGGUUAGGAGUUUGGGAAGAUUAACUCCUAUUAUGUGACUCUGGCGGUCAAUACACCUGUGUUUUUCAAUUUCUAAUGUUUAACCUAUGAAUUUAUGAGUGUUUCCCCCUUCUUGAAAUAAUCAACGUUUUCUUGAAUGAUCAUAUGUUAAACAUUUUCUAGUCUCCACAAUGAGGCUAUUCAUAGCCCAUGAAAUGAACAAAGAAUGUUCUCAAGGGAGAAUGGGAAACAAAAUUUCAAAUACAGGCUCCAUCUUGAAGCCAUCGUACUAACAUCACACAACCACCAGUUGCCCCCCAACCCCUCAGAGAAACAGAAAUGUCAUCUACAGUAUUCUCCAUCCAGAUUUGCUGGGGGCAAGUGGCAACUGUCAUAUUUGGUUUCAGAUUUUACAAAAGUUGUCAUGGGAAAAAUUUUAAGAUGUUAAUUUUGGGGUUGAAUAUGUUAUUAAUGAUUGUAAUAAAAACCAAUAAAUCUGAAAGUUUCCACUUAAAUCUUUAAGAAAAAGGUUUUUCCUAGAAGGAUCCAAGCUCCUGUAGAAGUCUAAAGGACUCUGGUUUCUAAACUAGUUUAUAUCUGAAGCAACAGACACGGUUUCUGGGGAAAACAUCAGAGUGUCCAAUGGCUGUAAAUCUGAAGCGGGACCUAGCAGUGGGUAAUAUUUUUUAGAAGAAAGACAUGCUGCUUCUUUUGUAAGAAUAAAGGGGAAAAUCUUCCCUUUUGACUAGAAAAGCUGGCGUGUAGACCUUUCUCAUUUAGUACAGCGACACGCUAUAAUUCCUCUCGUUUUUGCCUUCUUUCCCACGGUGGAAAAAGAGUCAAGGAAGCCCAAAAAGGAUAGAAAGGAAAAUCGAUGUUUUCCUCUGGUUGGGGGCAGUUUGAGAAGAACCUUCUUAUUGAAGAAGAAAAGCUCCUGGCAGAUUGAAGAACGGCGCAAAGGCUGCUAGUAGCAACGGAAUCCCCUGAAACAUCAUCGGGAGGGAGAACGUGGAACAGAAACCCUCCGCCCAAGACCCACUGAGAGAAAAUGACAGAAAUUAAGGGACCACCCUCACCCGAGCCGCUGAUGACACCUGGACACCUGCAGAAGCCCCUCUCCGGUCUCCUGGUCUCCUCCCCUACGUGCCUCUCCCCUCCACAUCCAUUCUGCUCAUCUCUCACUCUCUCCCUUGGCACCCCCGUGGCUUCCUGUUGGACAUCUAGUCCCGCCGCCCGGUGGCUCAGUCUGAAACAAGCCCCACUCGCUGGCCUCAGGCCCCUGGCCUUUCUUCUCCCAGUUAGGCUCUCCCUCUUCCGUUCUCAUGGCUGGUCCCUGUGUCAUCCAGGUCUCAGCCCGAAUGUGGCCUCUUCAGAGGGCCCUCCCGGACCGCCUUAGAUCCUGCCACAGCAUUUUUUAUUCUGUGGACUUGCUCGCUCACUGCCCACCUCCCCUCCCCUUCCCACAAGAAGUCAGCCCCCGGAGUGCAGCUGUCAUGACAGCUGGCCUCGGGAUCCCGGGCCCGUGCCUGGCACACAGCAGGUGCUCAGGAGAUGCUUGCCGGGUGAAUGAAUGAGGCACCAGAGCGAUCUCCUAGCCACAAGCGUUCACAGUCUUAAAUGCACAAAGUCAGCGAUCAGUCCUGAGUGGUUCACUCUCCGGGGAUCUGAAGCCGACGACCUUGGACAGUCAUUUGACCUUUCUGAGCUGUGAUUUCCUCUUCUAUGAAAUAAAAAGUUGAACUAG